UGAAGCUGAGUUGAUCGCCACCGUGACCCGGAGUUGGUAGAGAUCGGCCUGUGAUCUGUUGCCGUGUCGUUAGAAUAAAAGUCGUGUGCGGUUGGUGAUGUGUCCGUGAGUGUGUGUUUAGUUUCUGUCCUGUCGUUGUGUCCUGCUAUGGCGAGCUAUCCGAUGUAAUAAGCAUUUGGCACUUGUGCUUGUUUUUCAAACCAUGGAUCGUGAUGAGAACCUCUGUACUGUGGUGCAAUCCUUUCAUCUAUGCGAAUGGUCUUUAUUGUCUACUCGUAUAUCUUAAUCGGUGCGGUUUUCUGGAACCUGCCUACACCAGAUUAAGCAAAAACAAUUAAAAAUACUAAAGAAAUCUGCAAAUAUGAAACUUUACCGUAACAAGCAAUGUCUACUGUAUGUCGAGGUGUGUUUUCGUAUCUAUACUAAACCUAUCCUACAGCGACCCGAUCCUAAACCUAUCCUACGGCGGCGGCGCCCGACGUCCUUCGUCCAUCGUAGAAGGACUGACCCACAUGGAACACAAGGCCUUGUCGCCUUUCAUGCCUUGCUCAUUCUUGCAGGAGUCCGCGCCGUGAGGUCCAUGAUGGAAAUGGUGUCGCUCGCCCUGUUGUCGUCCCACCUUGCUGCCGGAUAGUUCGUCGGCAACGCAUAGGAGGCGCAACUGGUGUUGUUCUCCUUCGCGAUCCCCUGGAGCUGGGCCUCGAUGACGGCCGCUUCCUGGCGAGCGACGGCUUCAGCGCGGACGACAUCGUAGAUGGCACGCUGCUCCGCGACGAAAUUGGGGUUCGCAUCGGCCAUAGUCGCCACGGCCUCCUCGCUCGCCGCAGAUCUGGCCCUCCGUCAGCCGGUGCUGCUCCAGGAGGAACAGGUUAUACCGUUGUUCCUCCUGCGCCCGCUGGACGCCGAAAGGCGCUGACGCAAGCUGCAUCUCCGUCAUGGCGGCAUUGUAGUGCUCUUGCGCAUGCUCCAUGGUGAAGCCGGCGUGCACAGGAGGUGCUGGAGCCGGGGCGGUGUCGUCGGAGCCCGUCUUCAUCGUGGUGUCGUCCUCGUCAUCGGACACCUCGGGAGAGCUGGCCGGCAAACCGGUCUCGAUCCGCCUGGCACGGGGGCAGCAAGGGCGGCCACCACGUGCUUCAUCUCAGUGGAAAGGUUCUCCCACAAAGCUUCGCCAAGCUUCGCCGCUUGCAGUCAUGGCAGAUGCAAUGCAAGGGAGUAGGAUGUGGAGCGGCUUGUCUUGGCAUAGAGUUGGUCGGGUGUGGCCGCCUUUAAAUAGCGAAUUUCAGUGAGACCAACCGUUCGGGUGCGUCAAUGCGCAGCGGCGGAGUGGGUUUCACAGCCGUUAAGCCUAUUUAAUGGCGGCUUACGGACGGACGGGCCAUUCAACGGGCGUGGUAGAUAUCCGUCCCGUCCCAUCCAGUAAUGCGUCUUCGGCAUUGAACAGGCGCAAACGUGUCGCGGGUUGUGCCCUCGUCCGGCGUGCCGUUUCAAUGACGGUGGCAAUGAGAGGUCGCGUCCAUCCUGAGCCGUUUUUAAUGUGGUGUGGUGCGCGCGACAGCGGAAUGAAUGUGGACAGCUGGCGCCGGACGGGAACACGCACGGCGAGGAAGGAGGGGGUUUGGGUGGACCAGGCGGUCAGAAGCGGGUGUGGCAGCGGUCCGAACUCUCGCAAAACUCCCCAUGGUUGUCUUCGGUUUGCAGAAAAAAAAACAUCUGCAGAUCGCUCUACGGAUCAAUACAGGUCCGCGAUAGCUUCUACGAUGAAGAUGCAAUUGUGCUAGCCUGACCGAGUGAUGCACACAAUCUUUGACCGAUAUUGAUUUACUAUUUAAAAGUUCAUGUAAAAACAAUAAAGUUCAUAAGAAAAUGCCAUACAUGGCUGCCCCAACGGUAAAUAUAAAAAACACAGAAAUUAUUUUUUCAUGCAUCUUAAAUCCUAGUAGGUUGCUAACAAUUCGAUUGAACAAAUUUCGAGAGAGAUCAUCUCCCGUCGAAAACCGUGGGCGCCUUAUCCUCCUCUUUUUGUAGCAAUGACUACAUAUGGGAUGCCCUGAAAAUAAGUUGUAAUUUUUUGGAACAAAAUUAUUACAAGUGUUUCAAAUGGCCCAAUGCGUGUAAAUUCUCAGAAACUUCAACUUUGGAUGCACCCUCACUAAUCACUUUUCAAACAUAUUCAUACUACUUGUGGGUGGAGGUAGACUAAAAGCUAUAUGGACGUAUCACCAUAAUAAUUUGGCAAGCGAGCAGAAGGAAUAAAAGGCCGGAUGAACUCCUCAUCCCAACAAAAGCAACACCUAGUGCAUUCUUGCCAAUUCUUUUCUCCAGACUAGGUAAUUGUCCGUGCGUUGCAAUGGGGAUAAGAAAAAAAGUAUGGAUGCACUAAUUAAAGGGUCGUCAUAUUUUUACAUAAGCAUCACAGUUCUACGAUUUCCACCCACCCACCUUGUGCCGAGCACCCUCGUAUAUACUCAUCCUCCUUACCACCCACCAUCCCAUUCCACACGACAAGUAGACAAGGCAUCCCUUUUUCCUCUCUCCCCACCCUUUACUGGACAUUAUUUUUAAUUAUCCGACAUGCAAAAAUCAAUAAAUCAUUCAUCUCAAACAUGUAUUUGUAGGAUCUUCGUGCACAUCAAACAACACUGUCCACUAUUGUUUUACGUUAAAUCACUCUUCUUCGAGUAGGCUAAGCAGUCUCAGUGGAGUAACUUCGCCCCUUGUCCCUCCAAAGCAGGUCCAUGCAGCUAAGCAACCCUUGACACGCGAAAAAGAAAACACAGAGGAAAACAUGCAACCAAACAAGGUCUCGCAGGACAAAAUAACCUGGUGACUUGUGUGAGUGCCUACAAAAAAAUCAUGUGCAGGAAGGAGAGGGGGAUGGUGGAUAGAAGAACCAUCAUUAUAUCAACCUACCAUUCAAAGCUCAAAGAAGUUUUUAGGAAGAAUACAAAAUAUAAGUAAAUCUCAAUAGGUAAAGUUAAUGGCAAGGUACAUCGUUUUUCUUUCAAAAGGAAUAUCCACGGCCCAUCAUUUGUGAUGCACACAUCCAUCUUUUAUUGAAUAAAAUUCAAAUGUUCAAGGGAUUUAGAAUAAUAGAAAAGGAAAAAACUACAACCUCUAGCAAAAAAGGAUUACAUGACACGUUCACAUAAUUUACUAAAGAAGCUGUGUAAUGUUAUAACACACACACCGAAGGUAAUAAAGAAAACAAAAUACCCCCUACUUUCCACCAAUUGUAACAAUCUUUGAAGUCAUUAUUAACAAACUAAAAGGCUUUGGCCUAUGCAUUCAAUUGUUCUACAUGAAUAAAGGGUUGUCAUUGCGUACAAUUUGAUGUGUGCAAAUAAUAUACAUUUUAUAAUCAUGACACAAUCUAAAUCCUAAUAGCACUGGUAGCUUCAACUUGAGAAUUGAUGGGAGUUAUAAUAUGGCUUUGAAGGCAAAUACCAGCUCCUUGCUAUAGUUCUUCCUUGCAACCUGCACCAAAACCGACAUGGCAAACACAACUUUGAAGCCCACAACCAUGACACCACUUUUGCAAGUUGCUCAAAACACGAACUCGUUUGCAUAGAACAUCCAUUUCUCUAGUGGACAUUUCCUGUACUCAAUAUUCCACCAACUUCUGUAGAUUUGGAACCAAAAAAACCAAGCUAUCUUGCUUCUACUAAACCAAGAACGGAGAAACACCUAAUCAACAUGUUGACUACUUUCCUUGGACUGCUAAUAUCUUGUUAUCUUGUUAGCGUAUCAAGAUUUUAGAUAAUAUGAACAGAAAUAUCACUAACAACAUAAUUUCGGGAGGAACAUAUAUUGUGUUACUAUUGAUGUGCGUACCCGAUGGUGGUGAAAAAACUUGUAGUGAAAGUGUAAAAACACAAUAGCAAGCAAGUAUUCCCUACCCCUACUAAUUAGAAGAGGAAUAACAAAUCAUUAAAUAUAAAUUUUAAUGAUUAAAUAAACAAGAAACUCUAUGGGUCAUGCCUAUGUAAAGUGAAUAGUUUUUUUGGAAAGGAUCCCACAACCCCUGUCAUUAUACCUUGACUCUAAAGCUUAAGCCUUGUUUUCAGCAUGUCAACUCGACAUACCAUGCCUUUUCCAAAUGCGUCUACAGUCGAUAUGAUGCAUCGAUUGUUAUUUUGCCAUGUCUUGAACUAAACAGAUAUGUUUGCUUACAUAAGCAUGUUACUGCAUAACCACAAAACCCAAUGCAAGGCAAUAAGCAACAAUAACAUGAGUAAAAGAACUACGUUCUAGAAAACUUGACAUACUGGGAAAGUCACUUCUCAGCCUGAGCUGAAAUGAGCUCGGGUGAACAGUCAAAUUGAAUUUAUUUAAAAAAAAUCUAAUUUUCUUAUGACGAACAUUGAAAAAUGUUCUAAGAGCUUGCAAAAUUUCAUCAUGGAAUCACAUUUGAGGUUGUCGCGACAGUAAAAAUUCAGUAUUCUAAAAUGCUUUCAAACGUAGCAUUUUUAGAGUAUCGGUUUUAUUUUUUGCCACGCCUUCCAGGAAUGUGAUUCCAUGAUGAAAUUUUGCAAGCCCGUAGAACAAUUGUCAAAAAUAAUUCAGAAUUUUUUAAUGUGUUUUGAUUUUUUUUAUUUUACCGUUCACCUGGGCUCAUUUGAGCUUGGCUGAGAAACUCCGCGUCCGACAUACUGUUCAUCUUAUAGCACACCCCACCACAUAGCAUUUUCCAUUUGAAGCAUUUUGCAUUUCUUGUAAAUUUUGAAGGCUGAGUUGCACUUAGCUGCACACAUGAAGGCGACAAUGGUGCCAGGGAUGCUAUGACCACAAAUUCCAGGAAUACCAGCAGUAAUGUGGUGAUGAAUUCAAACUCCCAUUGAUCCAUCAUUCCAUAUCAAAAGUCUUAACUUAUGUAGUACAUAACCAUUAUGGCAUACCUUCCACUAGGAAAAAGUAUGAAUGUACAAAAAAGUAGAUAAAAUAUUUAGAAUUUUCACAACCGCAUCUCUUAGUUUUGAUCCACACAUUGUUGGCUACGCAUGUUUUGUGAAAAAAGUAUGGAUAUUGGGAUGGAAUUCUAUAUGCAUGCUGACAUGUGUCUCUUUAUACAUAAAGUCAAUGGCGGAAUUCAGAAUCUGAAGGAAAGACAAUGCUAGAUUUUAGGCAGUCAUGACAAGAUGCAAAUUAAGCUCAAAGCAAGUCGUAUUCAAACACAAAUUAGUUCCUUUCAAGCCUUUUCUCAAAGCAAGAAGGCAUGUUUGAGGAACUCCAUUUUUAUUUUAUUUGGGGAAAGAAACUGUUUCCUUGAUAAUCAUCAGAAAUCACACAUAUAACAAUUCCAUCAACCAUUGCAGAUCUACUCAAUCUCAGAACCGUGCUGAUUCUUGCAAGACAAACUAGUUUUUGAAAUGCAUGAAUAUAUUUGCAAUUUCAUAAUAAUUUUUUGACUGAACAAACCUUUUUGAAGCAUUGAUUUUCGAAAUUUGAGAACAAUUUCUGAAGUGGUGAACUUUUUUCAAAUUUUGGUGAACAUAUUAAAUAAAUUCAUGCCAACAUUUUCAAAUUCGCCAACAUUUGUUUCAAAUUCAUGAACAUUUUUUGCAUAUGUUAACUUUUUUUCGAAAUUGUGAACAUUGUUUGAUUUCCCGUUUUUUUAAAUCAAAAUCAUGACUAUUUUCUUGAAUUCCGAACAUUUUAUGAGGUUCUGAAUAUUCUUUUAGUUUUUGAAAUUUUUUCAAAAACAUCAUCUUUUUUUAUUUCCCUAAUGUGUUUUACAAUUAGGAACUUUUUGAAUUCCUUAAUAAAUUUGAACAUAAAAAUACGAAAAACAAAAACCGGAAUGAAGGGAGGAGCUGCGGGUGCGCGCGCUGUGUGUCCAGCCUGUUAUGCGGAAAAGAAAACCCUAUUUGCCGCUCUUUGCAAUAAGUUGUUGCGGUUUCGCAUAAACGAGCGAGCGACCUUUCGGGGUGGGCCGACCCGUUUAGAGUUGCAGCGAUACCGGUUUUGGGAACAUUUUAUGAUGUUUCUAGCCUAUUUAUUCUCGUUUAGGGAACGUUUUAUCUUUUUCAUUUAAUAUUUUUCUCUUCUUUUUCGUUUUUUUCAUUUUUUCCUUUUCUUGCCUUUUUUCUUUUCUUCCACCUUUUCAUUUUUCUUUUUCAAAAUUAUUUUCAGUUUUUCAACAAAUGUUCCGGAAUUUAGGAAAUGUUUGAAUUUUCCUAAUUUUGUUCACAUUUUAGAAAAAUGGUUCUGUUUUCAAAUUUUGUUCAGAAAUUUAAAAAAAGUUCGGUAUUUCAAAAAUUAUUUGCCUGUUUUCAGAAAAUGAUUGCAUUUUAAAAUUUUGUUCACAAACUAAAAACUCAAGGAUUUCAAAAGCUUGUUCCCAUUAUUCAAAAUUUGUACGCACAUUCAUAAAAUGUUCAUGCUUUUUAAUUUGUUCACAAACUCAGAAUAUGUUUGCAUUUUAAAAAUAUUUGGAAAUAAAAAUGUUCCCGUUUUUCAAAAUUUUCACAAAUUAAACAAAAUGUUAUGUUUUCGAAAUUGGUUCACGAAUUAAAAAAUUGUUCAUGUUUGCAAUUUUUUUACCAAAUCAGAAAAUCUCCGGGGGGAAUUUUGAUGCUUUUUAUUUUUGUAAAAAUUGUUCAUAAUUUCGAAGAAAACGUUCAUGUUUUCUCUUUUGUUUAUUGAUUUUCAAAAAAUGUUUACAAAAGUUUAUGUUGGAAAUUUCGCGAACUGGUUUUGAAGUUUUGUCGCCGCUGUUAGGUUCUUUAAGAUUCGUGUUGUAGUUCUUUCAGAUGGGGACUUGGUCUCGGUGGCUAGCGCAGCGUUUGCAUCUUCACGAGAUGGUGGGUUCGAUCCCUAACUUGAACUGUUUUGCGAAAUUUUACCGCGCCAAGCGAAUGCACCUCUAAUGGGCCGACCCAGGGUAAGCUGCGCCCUGUGCGAAGCCGCGAUGCCCGAUGGAGCCCAAAGUGUGCUCUAUGGGCCGGCCCCUUUAGCGAAUAUUUUUUUCGCCCGCUGUUCUCACCUGGUUUUUAUGGUUAUCUGUAGUGUUGACCACGUUUAUAGUUGACUUUUAGCGGACUAUUAUGUAUAUGAAAAAAAGUUUGUGGAUAUGAAAAGGUUUAUUUUCUAAAAUAAAACCUCAAAUUUGAAAAAAACAUUCAUAAUUUUGAUAAAGUUCAUGAAUUAAAAAAACACAAUUUCGAAAAGAAUCAUGAUUUUGGACAAAUUUAAUAAUUAGUGGGAAGUGAUUCUGUUCGGCCGGCUGAAAACGCGUCGCGCGUCCACCACCUUCUCUAAGCUACACAUGUCUAUGUUGGCCCAUGAACUUUAUCUCCUCCCCUUCCCAAUCUUAUCGCACCUUCUUUCUUCUUCAAAGGUACUACACACCUGCAACGACCAUGGCUAGAUGGAGCGCGCGUGUGUGCUACGGGGUGCGGCCGUGGCUGGGCUGCACACGCGCGGCGCAGAGGGCCCGCCCUGAGCUUGUGCUUCUCCAUGUACAUGGCCAUGGUGUCCAGGCUCGAAUAUAGAGAUGCCUUUUUGUUUUGCAACAACGCCUUUUGAUGUGGCUUUUUGCAACAUCUGCAAUGUUACAAAUGUCGGCGACGAAUGACGGUUGUGGUUUUGCGACAUGCAUCGACAAUGGUAGCAGUGCUUCUGCACAUCAUUUCGUUGCAAAAAUUUCUACAACAUUCCCUAUGCAGCUAAAGUUCUUCCGCAACAUCAGUGGUGUUGUGAAAAAAAGUGAGAAAAAAAUCUGCAACAUGUCCUCUGUUGCAAAAGUUUUGUGCAACAUGAGCUAAUGGGCCGGCCCAGGGUAAGCUGCGCCCUGUGCGAAGCCGCGAUGCCCGAUGGAGCUCAAAGUGUGCUGUAUGGGCCGGCCCCUUUAGCGAAUAUUUUUUUCGCCCGCUGUUCUCACCUGGUUUUUAUGGUUAUCUGUAGUGUUGACCACGUUUAUAGUUGACUUUUAGCAGACUAUUAUGGAUAUAUAAAAAAGUUGUGGAUAUGAAAAGGUUUAUUUUCUAAAAUAAAACCUCAAAUUUGAAAAAAAAACAUUCAUAAUUUUGAUAAAGUUCAUGAAUUAAAAAAACACAAUUUCGAAAAGAAUCAUGAUUUUGGACAAAUUUAAUAAUUAGUGGGAAGUGAUUCUGUUCGGCCGGCUGAAAACGCGUCGCGCGUCCACCACCUUCUCUAAGCUACACGUGUCUAUGUUGGCCCAUGAACUUUAUCUCCUCCCCUUCCCAAUCUUAUCGCACCUUCUUUCUUCUUCAAAGGUACUACACACCUGCAACGGCCAUGGCUAGAUGGAGCGCGUGUGUGUGCUACGGGGUGCGGCCGCGGCUGGGCUGCACACGCGCGGCGCAGAGGGCCCGCCCUGAGCUUGUGCUUCUCCAUGUACAUGGCCAUGGUGUCCGGGCUCGAAUAUAGAGAUGCCUUUUUGUUUUGCAACAAUGCCUUUUGAUGUGGCUUUUUGCAACAUCUGCAAUGUUACAAAUGUCGGCGACGAAUGACGGUUGUGGUUUUGCGACAUGCAUCGACAAUGGUAGCAGUGCUUCUGCACAUCAUUUUCGUUGCAAAAAUUUCUACAACAUUCCCUAUGUAGCUAAAGUUCUUCCGCAACAUCAGUGGUGUUGUGAAAAAAAGUGAGGAAAAAAAUCCGCAACAUGUCCUGUGUUGCAAAAGUUUUGUGCAACAUGAGCUAUGUUAUAAAAGGUUUCUGCAACAAGACUUUUAUUGCAAAAGUAGAGGAUGACAGUCAGCCGCUAGAUUGUUCUAUAUCUGAUGGUGCACGAGGCGGCGAAUCUUUAUAAAAAAAAUCCGCCGGCCAAUGCAUAGCACUCCCCAUAAUUAGUAAGAAUUUCACAAAUUUUGAAAAAGUUCAUGGCGCGAACUGUUUUUGCAAAAUUUUACCUCACGAAUCGAAGACACCGCAAAUGGGACGGUCUAGGGUAAGUUGUCCCCUGUGUGUCACAUCCCUAGUUCUGGUAUGACCUAGACUAGCUACUCAUGUGUGCAUCAUGUUUAAAUUUCAAUGAAUUUGAAAUGGGGACAUGUGAAAGCCUCAGAAAUCAUUUCUGAAAAUGACCAAGAUAAAAAUUGCUUCAAAUAGGUCUAAGAAAAUGUUCAUGUUUCUCUAUGAAAAUAUUGGACAGAGGUAAAAUUCAAACCAAUAUUUUCAGAAGCUCAUCAAUAUUUAUUUUGGACAUUUGAGUUAAUUCAAUAAUUGUUUGCAUUGGAGUUAUAUUUGUUAUAUAUUAAAUAUAACUCCAAUAACUCUGAAAGUUGGUAAGUGGCUUUGAAUACUUUUUAAAUGGCCACAUAGUAAUUUUCAGAAGUUUAUGAAAUGAUCUGGUAUUUAAAUAAAAUCAAAACCAAUUGCAGAAAAUAGAAAACAUAAAUAAAUAGAAAACCAGAGAGAGAGAAAACCUACCUGGCGCCUACCUGUGCGGCCUGCUGCUCAAGCCGGCCCAGCCCAUCUCCACCUCCCCUGUCGUCUUCCUCCUUUUGCCAGGAGGACGAAGGGCGCGUGCCCAGCCCGCGACACCACACGCCGGCGGGGUUGACCCUCUUUAACCGAGGUUUGACCUAUUGGGGAUCGUUGCAGAAAUUAAAACAUUUCUACGCAUCACCAAGAUCAAUCUAUGGAGAAACUAGCAACGAGAGAGAGGGGAGUGCAUCUUCAUACCCUUGAAGAUCGUGAUGCGGAAGCGUUACAAGAACGCGGAUGAAGGAGUCGUACUCGCAGCGAUUCAGAUCGCGGUUGAUUCCGAUCUAAGCGCCGAACAACGGCGCCUCCGCGUUCAACACACGUACAGUCCGGGGACGUCUCUUCCUUCUUGAUCCAGCAAGGGAAGAGGAGAAGUUGAGGGAGAGCUCCGGCAGCACGACGGCGUGGUGGUGGAGCUUGCAGUUCUCCGGCAGGGCUUCGCCAAGCACUACGGAGGAGGAGGAGGUGUUGGGGAGGGAGAGGGCUGGGCCAGCGGAAGGGGUGCGGCUCCCAUGCGCCUCCCCACUAUAUAUUGGGGUGGAGGGGGCUAGUUACUUGCCCUCCAAGUCCAUUGGGGCGUUGGCAAAGGUGGGGGAAAGAAAUCUCAUCAUUUCCCUUCCCCACCGAUUGUUAUCCCCCUUUUUUAGGGAUCUUGAUCUUAUCCCUUCGGGAUAUGAUCUUAUUCCUUCUAAGGGGGGAUCUUGGUGCGCCUUGACCAGGGGUGUGGGGCCUUGCCCCCACUACCCACGUUCAUGUGGGUCCCCCGUGCAGGUGGGCCCCACUCCGGAACCUUCUAGAACCUUCCCGGUACAAUACCGAAAAAUCCCGAACAAUUUCCGGUGGCCAAAAUAGGACUCUCAUAUAUAAAUCUUUACCUCCGGACCAUUCCGGAACUCCUCGUGACGUCCGAGAUCUCAUCCGGGACUCCGAACAACAUUCGGUAACUGCACACUAAUUCCCAUAACAACUCUAGCGUCACCGAACCUUAAGUGUGUAGACCCUACGGGUUCGGGAAUCAUGCAGACAUGACCGAGACAGCUCUCUGGCCAAUAACCAACAGCGGGAUCUGGAUACCCAUGUUGGCUCCCACAUGUUCCACGAUGAUCUCAUCGGAUGAACCACGAUGUCAGGGAUUCAAUCAAUCCUGUAUACAAUUCCUUUGUCAAUCGGUACGUUACUUGCCCGAGAUUCGAUCGUCGGUAUCCCAAUACCUCGUUCAAUCUGGUUACCGGUAAUUCACUUUAGUCGUUUUGUAAUGCAUGAUCCCGCGACUAACUACUUAGUCACAUUGAGCUCAUUACGAUGAUGCAUUACUGAGUGGGCCCAGAGAUACCUCUCCGUCAUACGGAGCGACAAAUCCCAGUCUCAAUUCGUGCCAACCCAACAGACACUUUCAGAUAUACCUGUAGUGUACCUUUAUAGCCACCCAGUUACGUUGUGAUGUUUGGUACACCCAAAGCAUUCCUACGGUAUCCAGGAGUUGCACAAUCUCAUGGUCUAAGGAAAUGAUACUUGACAUUAGAAAAGCUUCUAGCAAACGAACUAUACGAUCUUGUGCUAUGCUUAGGAUUGGGUCUUUUCCAUCACAUCAUUCUCCUAAUGAUGUGAUCCCGUUAUCAACGACAUCCAAUGUCCAUGGUCAGGAAACCGUAACCAUCUAUUGAUCAACGAGCUAGUCGACUAGAGGCUCACUAGGGACAUGUUUCGGUCUAUGUAUUCACACAUGUAUUACGAUUUCCGGAUAACACAAUUAUAGCAUGAACAAUAGACAAUUAUCAUGAACAAGGAAAUACAAUAAUAACCAUUUUAUUAUUGCCUCUAGGGCAUAUUUCCAACAUGACCUCCCCUGGCUCACUGACGUGUGGGCCCAAGGCCCUGACUAAUUAGUGUUAGGAUUAAAUUAGGGUUAGCUAACUUGGUUAACUAGAUGUGACACUCACAUGCGGGUCCCAUUAGUCAGUUUGACCUGGCCAGCGUCUGUUGAGUUGCUGAUGUCACACUAAUGUCAGGCUGACACAGUAAAUCAUUUUCUGUAUUAAAAGUAAUUCAGAAAUUCCAGAAAAUAGUUAAAAAAUUUAAAAAUCAUAGAAAAUAAUCUAUAGCUCAGAAUGAAAAGAUUUAUAUAUGAAAAAUUAUCAGAAAAAUCCAAUCUAUCUGUUUAUGGCAUUUUCAUGCAUGUUUGAACAACUUAUUCCUGCUGAUCAGGUCAAAUCAAUUAAAUGGCAUUUAAACAAUUACAUAUGGAGUUUGAUUUUAAACCUAGGGUUCAAACCAACUUCAUUUAAAUCGUUGCUAGUUGCAUUAGCUCAAAGCAGAGCAUGUUGCCAUGUCAUGAUCAUGCAUCAUAUUGUUGCAUUGCAUUGAUUGUGUUUAUUCUUUGUUUGUCGGUGCUUGUCCCCUCUUAGUAGACGAGGUUCCGACGAUGAGUUCGAUGACACCGAUGAAGAGCUAUACUAUCUUCAGAAGUGCCAGGCAAGCAAAACCCCCUUGUUCAUUCCGAUACAAACCCACUCUAUCGCUUCUGCUCUCUUUUACUGCAUUAGGACAACAACGAUUCAACGGUUACAUGUUGCAGUAGUUGAACCCCUUUCCUCUGCAUGACCUGUCAUUGCCACAGUAAAUAGGUGAAACCCACUAGCAUGAGUAGGAGUUGUUUGAGCCCUGAUGUGCCUACUCAUUCAUGCUUGUUGUCAUGCCUGCUACUGCUUAGAUUUGAGUCAGGUCUGAUUCAUCGGGGAUGAAUUGGUAUGUGGUGAACAUGUCCUACUGUUGAGAGCUAAGUGUGUGAACACGAUUUGGUAAAGGUAGCGGUGAGAUGCCAUGUCGGAGUACAUGGUGGGUUGUCUCAUUGAAACCGUCCUCAGGAACUGAGUUCUGUGUUUGUGAUCCAUGAACAGCUACUACCACACGUUGGGCCCUGAAAUAUGACCCCGCUCGACUUAUUAACCCCCAUGUCCUCUGUCCAGGAGUUGCAAGUAGUUUCUGGUGUUUGUACUAUGCUGGAGGUCGUGCGCAGCGCUGACCCGAGGGGUGGGCUGUGAUGCGGUAGGCACAUGGCACGGUGUACCGGGAUGCCCGUUUGGUGCCUCGAGAACCCUGCACACAUUGUUCGGGGCUGUAAGUGGAAACCUCGGCCGGACUCCCUUCGGAUGGAACCUGAAUAGGCGAUAAACCUCGAAUAGGGACUUGUGUGGUUAGUCAGGUCAUGGUCUACACCCACGUCGGCUUUCGCUUGAAGUCCGCCGAGCACAUGUCGUGUGUAGACGCUAAGUGGUGGAAACAUGUGUGAAGAAGUACACCCCUGCAGGGUUAUAAAUGAUCUAUUCGAAUAGCCGCGUCUGCGGUAAAGGACCUCUGGGUUGCCUAUACAGUUCAUAGACAAGUGAAAGUGGAUACUCUAAAAUGCGCAAGAUAAGCGUGAGUACUAUGGAUGGCGUUCUUGUAGGAAGACGGGAGCGGACCCAUAGUGGUGUAUUGAUUGGUGAAUAUGUGGAAUCGUGUGCGCCACCUCAAAAGAGUUACUUGCAGUCCUAGUUUAGGAUAGCUACCGAGUCAAAGCUGGCUUGCUGCAGUUAAACUCCACUACCCCUUUGUUGAUACCGAUGCAUAUGUAGUUAGUUCUGAUGUAAGUCUUGCUGGGUACAUUUGUACUCACGUUUGCUUAAUUUAUAUUUUUGCAGAGAGACUUCAGUCUCGCUAGUAGUUCCGUGUGGACUUCGACGUUUAGCUUGUUAACUCAGCUACGAUCUUGUGCCCUCGACAGGGUCUUGUAGAUAGUCAGGCUUCUCAGCCUUUUCUUUUGUAGUUGUCUGUACUCAGACAAGUUAAGCUUCCGCUUGUGCUUGUUGCUUGUAUGACUUGAAUGCUGGGUCAUCAGACCCAUGUUUGUAAUACUUGGCUCCUCGAAGCCUAAUAAAUAAAUACUUUGAGUCAUAGAGUUAUGUUGUGAUGCCAUGUUGUAUUUGCACACAUCGAGCAUAUUGUGUAUAUGAUUUGAAAUGCUUGGUAUGUGUGGGAUCCGACAACCUAGUUGUUUAUCCUUGGUAACCUCUCUUACUGGGAAAUGUCUCCUAGUGCUUCCACUGAGCCAUGGUAGCUUGCUACUGCUCCGGAACACUUAGGCUAGCCGGCAUGUGUCCUUCUUCGUUCCUGUGCGUGUCCCUUCGGGGAAAUGUCACGCGGUGUCUACCGGAGUCCUGUUAGUCUGCUACAACCGGAUUCUCCGGAGUCAUGUUAGCCUAGCUGCUACAACCCGGAUUCACUCGCUGAUGACCGACACAUUCGUUGCUGGGUCAUGUAUGCCUGUCCCUGUAAGUUAGUGCCACUUUGAGUUUACGACUAGUCAUGUCGGACCGGGUUCUUUGUCAUAUGGAUGCUAGCGACACUAUCAUAUACGUGAGCCAAAAGGCGCAAACGGUCCCGGGCCAGGUAAGGUGGCACCCGUGGGAAUACCGUGUGUGAGGCCGCAAAGUGAUAUGAUGUGUUACAUGCUAGAUCGGUGUGAUUUAGGACCGGGGUCCUGACACUGUGCGAAGCCGCGAUGACCUAUAGAGCCCGAAGGCUGCUGUAUGGGUCGGCCCCUGUAGCGAAUGUUUUUUUCGCCCACUAUUCUCACCUGGGUUUUUAUGGUUGAUCUGUAGAGUUGACGUUUACAGUGGACUUUUAAGAGAAUAUUAUGGAUAUCAAAAAGGUUUGCAGAUUUGAAAAAAUUGUUUUUUAAAUAAAACCUUCAUAAGUUCGAUAAAGUUCAUGAAUUUGAAAAAAUAUCACAAUUUUGGAAAAAAAUACGAAUUUGGAAAAUUUCAACAAUUGUGAAAAAUUCACAAAACUUAAAUAAGUUCAAAAUUUUGAAAAACUUCAGAAAUUUGGGAAGGUUUGCGGAGUAAAAAAAUUCACUAAUUUCAAAACAUAAUAACCAAAUAAAACCGAAGAAAACCCGGUUUUGAAAACAAAAAUAAAAUAAUAGAAAAUAGGCCGGAAGCUCUCAAAAGUUUCCCAGAACUAGGAGAGAGCUUCCCCGCUCGAGCGCUCGUGUUACUUAUAUGGGCUGGCCCAUUUGUAGUCUAUCAGUGGUUCGGGUUGUGUGUUGUGUACGAUUAAGCCUAUAACUGAUGCUAUGGGUGCCAAAUAGGAAUUUCCUCUAACCCGCAACAAGCAAGAUAUAGCUUUUGCGGCCCUGCGAUGUUAGGCAGACCAAUUAUCAUGAAAUUGUAAAAGGACUUGAAAACACAAAAAUGUUCGCCACCCAGAAAGAAAAUGCACGAAGAAACUUAGACUAGUUACAUAGCACGACCCAAAUAACACCAACAAAUCUACCCCGUCCUGAAUCUCUACACCUUAGAUUUGUGCUCAUGGAAUUAACUAAUAUUUAACUAAAGACAACUGUAACGACAGGCGCUUAUUGUGUGGACACUAAUACAAAUAAGAUAUGAAUAUUAUAAAAUUACCUGCCCUCUCUCUCAGGACGGGACACUAAUUAUAGAUGCAACACCGUCGUUCGACCGGUGUAUUCGCUGCAAACCUUGUACGGAAAAGGGCAACCAUCGUUGACAUUAAUGCUACAUAUACGGGCUUUUUGUUUACACAGGAUUACAGAGGAGGUGAUUUGGACGCGUACUAUUAGUUGGUGGAUGGGCCCUUCACCAGAAAUUCAGAGAGGAGAGACUAUUGACAAAUUACACACUGUCUGCGGUAUAACAACCCCGUAAAGCCAUGUACAUUUAGGAUUACUAGCACCAAUGCCCGUGGGUUGCAACGGGAAAAAACAACGAUUCGUAUAAACCACGUUGCCGAGCUGAGAAACUGUAUCGUGGGACAAUGAUCGCCGAUGAGAAAAAGGCGUUGAAUCAUUUGAGGACGACAACAAUCAAACCAACCUAGAAUAACAAUUGCAACACCAACAUCAGCAAGCAAACCAACCUAGAUGGAAACUAAUUCAGGAAAACUUCCAUAAUUUAACAUAUCUACUUGGUCAAAUGCAACUUUAUCAUGCAAACCUAAAAAGUUUAGUAAAUAAUCAGUCAUUGACUUCACAUGGAAUUAAAUUGCAUAUGUAGGUAAACUGUAAUUGCGGCCAAUGAAUUGCGGACUCUAGAUGGAAGUAGCAAAACCCACAUGGAAGCAAGCAAAGAAAUCAUCUAAACAAAGGUGGGAAAAAAAGAGUGUGGAUAAAAAUCACUGGUGGAAGACUUACCUUUGGUUCGAGGGUUAGUGGAUACAGUCAGAUAUUUUAUGUACUUUUUUGUUUUGUAAUCCAGUCACAUGUAAUCGAUCGAUUUUAUUAUAACAGCUAUGUUUUUGGAGUCUCCUGUGAGAGAACCCGUGUUGCCAUAUAUGCAUGCCCCACAAGAAUCUGUAGCCAUUCAUUUAAUUAACUCGUCAUUAUGAUUAGCCAAUCAUAAUUAUCUGCGUCAUGCACGUCUCUCAGAAAUUGCCAUAUACUCUGUUUAAUUAGCCCAACAUUAAUUAGCCAAUCAUAAUUAUAUGCAGUAUGAUGUCUCGUCUCUUGGGAAUCCCACUCAAUUAGCCCACCGUUAAUUACCUUAAUCUGUUUUAUUAGCCCACCAUUAAUUAACCAAUCAUAAUUAUAUGCAUCAUGUAUCUCUCUCGGGAAUCCCAUUCAAUUAGCCACCUUUAAUUACCUCAUUCUCUUCCUUCCUUAUCUCUUUUUCUCACGUUUUUUCUUUCCUUAUUAUCUCUGGGCCACGUUGUUCGAAAUCACAAAUCCUCUCAAUCUUUCCUUAUUGAAACCCAACACGUAGGACACGACCGAUGAGCGAUUACAAAAGAGAACUGUCCGCUUUUCUUUCAGGCAACAGGUGCUAAAUUGGUUGGUUAACGCGUGCGGGCCUAUAUCUCGCCAACCCGGGUUCGAUUCCCAUCUAGCACAAUUUAUCUUUUGGAAGCAACGUACACACAAAUGGGCGGUGUGUCAAAAAAAACCACAACGUACGAAAGUGCAAACGACCGACAAAAGGAGGACGGCGUACAAAAACACUAAUGGACAAAAAAUAGUGGAGAAACAAUUCAUCCUUUAAUACUCCCUCCGUCCCAUAAUAUAGGUAAGAUAAAGAUAAAGAUUUCCUGACUAUGGGAUCGAAACUACAACUACCAAAGAGUGACCUCUGUUUUAAACCCUGAGGUAGAACUACAAUUAGGUAAGAUGAAAUUGGUACCCUCAACUUGCUGAUCCCGAUCAAUUUGGACCUUAGAUCCGUUUGCUGCACCGGGAAAAAGAAGAUCCAGGCCGGGAUCAGUCGCUACUCUCACUGAGGCGGGGCAAGUUGGUGCUUGAGGGAAGGGCCAGGAUGAUGGGCCUCGAGGCGGAGGCGGCGCGGCGACGCGCCUAGGAGGGUCACUUACGCAUUGCGAUUGCGGCCGCCCGCCGCCGUACGGUGCGAGGUGGCGGCUCCCUGCGUCCACGUGCUCCGGUGGCUCAAGGCGUGCGCGCGCGAUGAAAGGAAGAUGCCGGACCCUCCCGUGGACGCCGAGGUGCAAGUGCCCAUGAGACAACGCCAGUGCGUGACCGCGGCCACCGGGAGGAUUCGCUGACUAGCCGUGCUCGGUUCCUACGUGCCUCCCCCACCACCGCGUCGUCCUGACUCGCGCAUGGCACAGGACCGUCAUCUACAACAAUCGGCAUUCUAAGGCGCACCCACACCGAGCCAAAGCCAUGGACCGACGGACGGGGUUGCAGCUCAGGUGGCUAGCAGCUGGGGUGCGGGUUGGCGUGCACGGCACGCGCGUACAACACGCAAAGAGCGGCUUAACUACAGGGGUUAGUGCACGCAGAGAGAGAAAGAAAUUGGAAUAGGGGUGGUGAGCGUGCACUGCGUGGCCAUCGCGUGCUCAGCGCGGCAUGCACUCUGACGGACUACUCCUAGAGAAAUCAAUCAACCUGUAUGUUUGCUUCCGAGCAACUCUAGUUUUGAACAUAUGUCUAUCUACUAUCAUUAAUCGAUCUAGAAUCCUAAGUUCCUAACAGCAACAACGUCUUGGCGAUGGAGGCCGUCCAUGAAGCCGAUCGAAACGUGCGGCAUUCGCCUUGGCCUCCACCGACGGCAUGUGCAAGGUCGGGAGCAUCGUAGAUGGCCACAUCCCCGUCGCUUCUGUUGUCGCACGCAGACGAGCGGUUCGCACGAGCUCGUUUCGGGAGCUGGCUAUGUGAUCGGUAAGAGACAGGGAGGGGAAAGAGAUCGAGGAAGGAGUAUAUGGCAGGUAGGCCCGUGUGGUCAGUGAGACAAACAAGGGAUCCCGGACAGGAUUGUCCUUCCAAACAGGUCUAGGGGCGGUUUAGGGUUAUAAUUGAUCGGGAUCGAUGAGGUCAGGGUACCAACUUCAGGGAUUUAGAGGUGAAGGUUUAUUUCCGUCGUGGUCUACAAUCUCAGGGUUAAAAACAGACUUCACUGGUUGACAAUUACCUGGCGCCAUCCACUAGCGCCCAAUGAUGGAGAUGGCCAAAUACAUACCUAAUUGACAAUUACCAAAUAUGAGAAAAACAUGCACUCCUUUUAAUUUAUCUAUAUUCUUAUAAAUUUUUAUUUAUUACCACCCCUUAAAAAAUAUUGAAAUGACUCAGACAACACAAACAAGCAAACCCAAUGGUUGGGUGCUCUGUUCAGACUGUAGGAUUCUACGGCAGGGCGGGUCGACUACAAAUUAAAAAUUUCUACCCACAGAACAUCCAGGAACACACUACAAGAGAUGGAUCACGGAUCGUUACCACUAGACGUGCAAUGCCGUGCAGCAGAAGUAGAUUUGGGGCAGCGCGUCUCCGGAGUCGUCUCCGCCUCGAUCUCCCAGGUAGCCGAUCGGAUCGCAUGAACAGGUUCGACGGAGCGGCACAAGUAUACCGCCUCUAACGGUAUCCGCACGUGCAGGAGGAACACCGUGCGGCGGACUGCUAGUUCCAUCUGCUAGUUCCAUCAAACAGCCGACAGCGAGUGGAGGUGGCUAGUUGCAACACAUGCAAGGCCCUAGUGGAGACGCCACAGCAAUCAACUGAAACGGUAUGUCGCACCUCCACUAUAUAUAGGCAUCCGUCCCGGGCUCAACACUUGGGCCUUGCAUGGAUUCUAAAGCCCAAAGUUUGUUCGGCAUGGAUCCUAGUCCGAGUGGGAUCACAUCUGACUCGUGGAGUCGGAUCCAGCCUUACAGGUUCCUUCACUUAAGUGCGCGACCCCUUAGGUUCAAGUCAUCUUGGUCGCAGGUUGGAUCACCUCCGACUUGCUCGGUUGGUAGCGGCAUCUAGCAAGGCGUGACGACCACCAAGUAGACAAUGAAGCCGGUUGGCUUACCUGUACAACAUGUCACACUUCUAUUCUCUUUGCCACACGAUAUAUGUUGUCGGGCUCAAGGCGAGUCGGUCAUCUUUGUACUAGCCCGACCUAUUUCUCGUUCUAGUGAUGCCGACAACGAACCGGAUUAUCUCAUAAUCCUUGUCGCAUGGCCAUGCUUAUCCAGGUUGAAUCACACGAGGGCCCCAGAGUAUAUCUCUCCUGAUUGGAGGGGCAAAUCCCAUCUUGCUCGACCAUGUCUCGUAGCAUGGGUCUGGACAAGUCGAAAAUCUACAUUUAUAACUACCCAGUUAUGGAGUAGCGUUUGGUUGGCCAAAGCAGGUCUGUCACCAUCCCGAGUACAUGCGCCAGCUCAGGUGUUAGGACAUAGAAUGUAUGUUGUACUAGGGACUCACAUAUGACCUAUCGCCGCAUAUCAUAGUCGGGUCUGUACAACUUGGACCUUAUCUGGAUCGUAUGUCGAAUCCGACCAGAUCUUUGUGAGUCCAUACUAUCCGGAUAGCAUCCAAUUCUCCAUGGCCAAUGAGACCAAGCCAUCCACCGUGUCAUAUGCUAGUCUAGUCGGCUGUGCGUGCAGACAACCCUUUCGACUAGGGACUUUUUAAGGCAGUCAUCAUAUAAUGCCUAGUCCCACAAACAAGUCAUGUGCUUGCUGAUACACAUCAUUGAUAAUGUCCAAGAACUAUCUUUAUUCACAAACACAUAGGAAGAAGCAUCAUACAUGAUUUCCACUAGGGCAUAUCUCCAAUAGUCUCUCACUUACACUAGAGUCAAUCAAAUAGACAUUUAAUUCCCAUAGCUCUGACGUGCCCCUCAUGCUUGGGUUGUGGAAGCGACUUAGUGAACGGUUCCGCAACAUUUCCAUCCAUGUGAAUUUUGCAUAACUCUAUAUCACCACUCUUUUACGAUCUUCUGCAUGAGGUGAUAUUUUCAAUCUAUGUGUUUGGUCUUGUGGUGGUUCCUCGGCUCCUUGACUUGUGCGAUGGAACCAAAACUAUUACAAUAAAGGUCCAGUGGUUUUACCAUUGCUGGAAAAAUACCAAGAACAUUCAGAAAGUUCAAGAUCCAAGCACCUUCCUUUGCAGCUUCACAAACCACUAACGACCACAACACCCGCGGGGAGAGGGGUCACAUAUUCGCGGGCACAACCCGGACUGAGCCCACCAUCACCUACCCGGAGUGAAAACUCUAACCCGCCUCGGGCCCUAAUCAGAUCUGCCCGAGCACGGACCCCAAGUCCAGGUCAUCUCCGUCGCGCAAGCAGCGGGCGCCACCGACGUGGACCCAAGAGAAGGGAGGAACCACUACCAUGCACACCACGCUGUCAACCGCCACCGCCCGAGCCACCAUGACCACAUCGACGACCGCUGCAACCACGCCCCUGGCCUGCCGCAGCCAGCUGAGGCCGCUAGACCGAGCCACCACGAGCAAGGACUACUACUUCGGAGCCCCCACCAUGCAAUCAUCGUCGCAGCAGAGGCCGACCUGUGCUGCCCAUGACCCUCGUUAGAGAGGCAGCUACCUGUCAGAUUUCGCCGAGGCCCCACUACCGCCACAACCACCUCCGGGCGCUCCACUACCCACCACGCGGCCUAUGCCACAACCGUCGCACAGGCGCCCGCCACUACACCUACACGCCGGCCCCUGCACGCGAGGGGACGAGGAAGCCCCGCUGCCGCCGGCUCCAGUCGAGCUUUGCCCACCUGAGUCCUGUGGCCGCGGCUAGGGAGGAGGGGCGGGGAACCUGGUGGCGGCAGACUAGGGUUACCUCCCGGCUGCCGCGGGAGGCGUUGGAGGAAAGAGAAUCUCCGAUCAUAUUACCAUUCACCGCCAAAUUUGUUUAUCAUUAUCACCCAUCUUAAAAAAUACUGAAAAUGUCUGUAUUACCACUUUUGAUACAGGCAGAGAAGAUGCGCGGGCUGGCGCAGUCAAUUUCCGGCAGCCAGUCGAGUCUCAUCAGUUGCAAGAAGGUAAAUGUUCGAACUAUAUAUGCCGGUAGCGGAAAGAAGCUUUAUAUAACACCUCACCUAUGCUUAGUGCGACGCACGAUCAUAGUACUGCCACCCCACUAAAGACUGAAAGUACGUGUAUGCCACAACCAUGCAACAGUCGAGCAACCAAACAGCCAGAGCCUCUCUUUUAUGAAAUGGCUUCCAUCGAUGUCUCAUUCUACAUCUUUUGUGGCAGCCCGUGUGAGGUAACGCAACAAACCAACAGAUCAGCCCGUGUAAACUCCGCGUCUUCCCCACGAUGACAACCUCGUCUCGAUCGUCUCAUCGUCCCUCCUGCAUGACGCGCCGCCUUCUGACGCCAUGCAAGCGAGCCCUCGCGCGGCUCUUCCGCAUCCCGGCCUCCGCCGCCCUCUCUAUCAGGGCCUUCCGGUUCCGCAAUCUCCGCAAGUCCACCGCCAAGAUGAGCCCCCGCCACCGGCGCCGUGCCGGCCGAAGCUUCCGCUCGGUCCGCGCGGUGUUCUGGCCGUUAAUCCCUCCGUCUUCCACGCCGGCAACCUCGACAGAGAGCCAUACCGCGCGCAGGGUAGUUGCUGCGGCGGUGCCAGAGGUGCCGGUGCCGUCGCCAGAGACGCCUGCGUAUGUGAAGAUGGUGGCGCGGCUGCGGUCGAGGACGACCACGCGAAUUGGAGAGGACAAAGAGGAGGCAUGCCAGAGUUUUGAGAGCUGCCUGAUGGGGAUUUUGACGGAGGAAGGCAAAGCGCGGGACCUGCAGGACGUGGAGGAACUCCUACAGUGCUGGGAGCGGCUCAAGUCGCCGGUGUUCGUCGAUCUGGUCUGCCGGUUCUACGGCGAUCUGUGCAAGGACUUAUUCUCCUCCGCCGCCGGGGGUGAGAACGGCGGAAACACUAACCAGGACGUGGGACCAGUUUCCAUGUCGGCUGCUUUACUAGUGUAACUCGUUACCACAUCGUGUUGUAAGUUCGUAACACAAAACACUUAAUUUUACAGUUUACGCUAUGAUGGCCUUCCCUGAAAAAAAAUAUCGUAAUGGAUGUCUGGAUGGCGACGUGCAAUGGCCUGAGCUGAGCUCGAGAGCUAUGUCUCAUUUGAGACGGUAGCUUCGGGAGCAACUCGUUGACGAGCGUUUCUUCGGGAGUCUCCCAACGAUAAUUUUGGAUGGGCUGAGAGCACAUCACUUCACGCGUUGUCAUCCGCCGUCACGUGUCACGCUUUGGAUGUUUUCUCUAAUUUAUUUAUUUAUUUAUUUCACGUGUUUUCGGCUUUUUAGACUGUUUAUUUUCUGGGUUUUCUCGGCUUUUUCGUUUUUCAUCGGUCUUACUUAGCUUUUAGACAAAAAAUGAUUUUUUAUUUUACUUUUCAUGGAAAAACUUUUUUCUUCUUUCACGAGAGGCAUGAUUUUGAUUCGGCAUGAAGCACGAAUUUGCUUUCGCAAGAGGCAUGACCGUGCCUCUUCCGAACAAAAAAUAUAUUUUCUUCUUCUUUUCCCUUCCCGAGAUUAGAUAAUGCAUGACGAGGACUUGACUCUUGACUUACACAAGAACUUUAAGAAAGAAGAAAAGCUUGAAUUAUCCGAAAUGACAAGCUCCCACGGUUUUGCUUCUGUGAGAGGCACGGUUUUGCUUCCAUGAUAGACACAUCUGUGUCUCUUGGAAACGAAAAAACACGUUUUCUCUUCUUUUUUUUCCUUCCGUGAGAGGCACGGUUUUAUUUUUGCGAGAGGGGCGGCUUUGCUUUCGUGAGAGGCACGGUCAUGCCUCUCGGAAACAAAAAAAAACACGUUAUUUAUUUAUUUUUUCCUUUCACGAGAGGCAUGGUUUUUCGUGAUUUUUUUUUCGUUAAAACCUACCAACAUGGGAUUUAGUUUUGAAGAUCUCGAUGCGAGGAAUCAAACGGUGAAAACAGUUUAAGAUUUGGACGCACAGUUUAAAAGAUAAAAUAUUUUGAAUAAACGAAUUUAGAACUAAAAAGAAAAAACAUUCAAGUUGUGACAAAUGAUACACAUUCAACGUAUCACUUGUCACAAACUAAAGAAAUAAUAGUGAUCUUUGAAAAAGACUACUCCUCAUUGAUUUCCGCUAGGUUCUCUUGUCUGACCCAGCCGGCCCAUCUUUCUUUCGAUUACUG
rnacentral:lncRNA from 1 species